rnacentral:misc_RNA from 1 species
GGAGGUAAAAGUCGUAACAAGGUUUCCGUAGGUGAACCUGCGGAAGGAUCAUUCAUAAUAAGUGUUUUAUGGCACUUUUUUAAAUCCAUAUCCACCUUGUGUGCAAUGUCAGGGUUGAUUUUUCUCUCGAGUGGAUCAGCCCCAAACAUCAACUAUAUCUCAACUCUUUGUCUGAAAAAUAUUAUGAAUAAAACAAUUCAAAAUACAACUUUCAACAACGGAUCUCUUGGCUCUC